rnacentral:rRNA from 1 species
CCAAUAGCGUAUAUUAAAGUUGUUGCAGUUAAAAAGCUCGUAGUUGAAUUUCGGGAUCAAUAUACCGGUCAUGCCUUGGUAUGCACUGGUAUCUUUGAUUUCUCCCUUCUGACGAACUUUGAUGUCAUUAAUUUGGUGUCAUAGGGAAUCAGGACUGUUACUUUGAAAAAAUUAGAGUGUUUAAAGCAGGCUCACGCUUG